rnacentral:rRNA from 1 species
GAUUUCUGGCUUGGUGCGCGCCGUCCGGUGCGGUUACGUACUGUGUGCGGUUGUGCGCCUGCCAUCCUGCUGGUUAGUAUUCUGGGCCCUUCACUGGGUUUCAGGUGCUGAUCGGCUCUUUUACUUUGAAAAAAUUAGAGUGUUCAAAGCAGGCUUGCGCUAUGAAUACAUUAGCAUGGAAUAAUAAUUUAGGACUUUUGUCCUAUUUUGUUGGUUUCUAGGAUGAAAGUAAUGAUUGAUAGGGAUAGUUGGGGGUGCUAGUAUUCAGCGGCCAGAGGUGAAAUUCUUGGAUUCGCUGAAGACUAACUUAUGCGAAAGCAUU